GACGAACGCUGGCGGCGUGCCUAAUACAUGCAAGUAGGACGCAGUUGCGAACGGGUGAGUAACGCGUAGGUAACUACCUAUUAGAGGGGGAUAACUAUUGGAAACGAUAGCUAAUACCGCAUACUAGUAGAUGGACCUGCGUUGUAUUAGCUAGUAGGUAGGGUAAUGGCCUACCUAGGCAACGAUACAUAGCCGAACUGAGAGGGUGGUCGGGCAAAAUGGGAAUGAGAAAAGGGCCAGACUCCUACGGGAGGGAGGAGGAGGGAAUCGUCGGAAAUGGGAGGAACGCUGAACGAGCAAAGCCGCGGGAGUGAAGAAGGUUUUCGGAUCGUAAAGCUCUGUUGUUAAGGAAGCGGUACUUAACCAGAAAGGGACGGCUAACUACGUGCCAGCAGCCGCGGUAAUAC
rnacentral:rRNA from 1 species